rfam:Schizosaccharomyces cryophilus OY26 unplaced genomic scaffold supercont4.15, whole genome shotgun sequence.
GGGUGUGUAGCCUAAUGGUUAGGGCGUUGGUUUUCGGCACCAAAGAUUGCAGGUUCGAGUCCUGUCACACUCG